rnacentral:lncRNA from 1 species
AAGAGCAAAAUGCUGUCUGUGUCUCACUCAAUGUAGUGGCUGCUACAGGAGAAUCUUCCCAGGCCUUCUCAGGGAAUUCCCAUCAGGAUCACAGGAAUGGUCCCUGGCAGACACAACCCAGUCUGCACCUUCCAUGGGCCACAGCUGAUGGUACGAGGAGAGGUGUGACAUCUGCCUGACCUCAGAAAUCCAAAUCAUUCCUUUUGCAACAAAACAAUAACAGUGGAGUGCGUUCCCUGAGUUUUUGGAGAGAAAAGAAAAAUAAAGUUCAGAGGCAAAACUUGGUAGAAAUUCUGAAGCCUGGAUGACAGUGAUGACUCCGCGCAGCAGGAACGUCGCGGGCCUUGCCUGGCCACGUCCUCUUGGCUGGAGGCAUGAGUGUUUAUGCCAGGCUGAAGAAGUCACUUGAACUCAUGUCCUUUGACUGAACAUUUUUUAUGACCUGCAUAAAUCAUUUCUUUAAAAAUGGCAUCCUGGGCAUGGAGACAGUCUGCUUUUUGCAAGAAUUCUUAUGGGCAAAGUCUCUUCAGAUGAGAAUGAUUCUGCUUUAAUUCCCUCUGCCUUCUGCCCUUGGGUAAGCUCACUGUGUCUCCUUAAACACUCUGGCUUUAACCAGUUUCUGCGUAUCGUUCAGACCAACAUUCCUCUCAGUUAUCAGUCAAUUGAGAGACUGAGAAAUAAAGUCAAUAGAAUGAAAAGAAAAUAGUCAUAUACAGUAAGCUCGAUUUUCUUCCUACCGCUUCCUCAUAUCUUUGCCAAGUCAAACCAAACUACCUCCUUCUAGAAAUUUGUCUUAUAAAUUAUCUUCAUGACCUUCAGGAAGCUAAUAUAUUUUAAGAUGUACAAAGCACUAAAAAUACUGAUUAAAAGAUCAAUUGGACUUCAGCAGAAUUUAGAACUUCUGUUCAUCAGACGACAACCUUAGAAAGUGAAAAGAUAAGUGCUUUCAUUAGUUCCCACAACACAGGAGGAAGCCCUAGAAAAUCAAUCAGAAAAACACAAUCCAAUUUAAAGCUGAGCAAUAGCCUGCGUGGGCACUUCACAAAACGGGAUAUCCCAAUGGCCAGGGAGCUAUGAGGAGGUGAUCAAGAUCAUUUGUUUUCAAGAAAAUGAAAAUUAAAUCCACAGUGAGGGAGAAUUGCACACUCACCAGGAUGCGUAAGGCUAAAGAGACUGAAAAUGCCAACUUCUGGGGAGGACUUGGUGAUGAGAACUCACCUAUUGCUCUGGGAAUAUAAAGUGGUUCCACCAUUCUGGAAAAAUUCUUCAGCAAUAUUUACUAAAUUUAAAGAUAUGCCUAUCCUAUGACCCGAAAUCCUGCUCCUAGCUCUAACUAUGGGAAAUGAGUGGCGCAGUCCACAAAAGGACAUGUGCGAGAACAUUCGUAGCAGCUUUAUGCACAGUAAACCCAAACUGGACACAACCCAAAUGCUCAGAACAAGAGAAGAAAUAAAUACAUUUUUAUAGCCUUGCAAUGGAAAACUAUAGUGUGAUAAAACAUAAUAAACCACGAGUGUACCAAGAAUAUUGAUGUUUGUUUCACAACAAACAUGUGCGUGAAAGAAGCCAGACACAGAAGAGUUCCCACUGUCUGGUUCCAUUUCCACAAAGUCCAAAACAGACACAACUAACUGAUAAUGACAAAAAUCAGAAGACUGGUGAUCUCCAGACAGAGGUAUAGACUUAAAAGGGGCCAAGGGAAAAUAAGGGGAAUAUGAACCCCGCUCAAAGGUUUCACACACAAAGAGGCAGAGUAGAUACAGAGUGAAUAAAUACAUUAUUUUCAUGUGCAUACAAUAGAUCAAGUAAUAAAAUUCUGAAAGCCGUACAUAUGUUAUUUAGUUCAUACAAAAACCCUGGGUUUAUUCUGAACCCACCUAUGAGAUCACAUGGAGAGACUGGAUCCUGAAACACAAGGGUGUGCUGCAUUUCUGGAUACCAUCGCAGACCUUUGCAAGCAGUUCCGUGAAACAAGAAAGGAGCAUUAGGAUCAAUGGCACGUGAUUUAAUUAAAUUUGCAUUGGUUUUUCUACGUUGACUUUCACUUUGCAACCAAAGAACACCAUUCUCCCUGGCAUUGCGGUAAUUUAAAAGUGCCGGGGAGGUGUGGCUCACUAAGCUAAACUCAACCUCAUCAGAUAAAAUAAUUAGUUUUG